GGUCUCCUAUGCUUACCACAGGCUAUGUUCUUACACUGACUGUAUAAAAAGAGGAGACAGAGUAAACCUACCACAUAUAUACCUCAGCCCAGGCCUUAUUCCUGGUCUGUAUUAUGAAUCAGGGAACAUCG